rnacentral:RNase_P_RNA from 1 species
CCAGGAGGCCGGGCAGCCGCGUUGGAGCAUCCGCUUCACCGAGGAAAGUCCGGGCUCCACGAAACGAAGGUGGCGGGUAACGCCCGCCCGUUCGCGGCCUUCGGGCGGCGGACGAGGGAUAGUGCCACAGAAAGCAAACCGCCGAAACGGCCCUCGGGCCGAAUGGCAAGGGUGAAAGGGUGCGGUAAGAGCGCACCGGGGCGACCGGCAACGGGGCCCGCAUGGUAAACCCCACCUGGAGCAAGGCCGAAUAGGGACGGCGCGCCGGUUUGUCCGGCCGAGGCGUUUCGCCUCGAGGUUCGCGCCUGCGACCGUCCGGGUUGGCUGCUUGAGCGCGGGGAGCAAUCCCCCGCCUAGACGAAUGGCUGCCCUCGCGGCGGCUGGUGCGCUUUGCGCAUACCGGCCGCGAGACAGAACCCGGCUUACAGGCCUCCUGGCACC